rnacentral:sRNA from 1 species
UUUCAAUGUGCAAAUGGAAUUUUAAACCAAAGGUAAUUCGCAGAUAAAAAUUUAACAACAAUCAACUGAAACACACUGGAAAUUAAGAUUCAACUGAAACUGGAAAACAAAUCCAAAACCUCCCCAAAGGGGAGGAGGAAAAAUGAAAGGCACGUAAAUUCUCUCCUAAUUCCUACUCCUAAAUCUACUUAUUUUGCUUCUCUGCCUGCUGCCCCUUUUAUAUGCCAAAAAUUUUGUCUUUUCUCCCGUGUCCACUCCUUGCUUCCAGCCGUUUCCAGUUUCUUGGUCUGCCUUCAAUCCUUCAAUCCAGAUUUUGAGUUGUUUUUGUCCCUCGUAGCUUAAGACUUUCUUCACCUCCUAACCGUGCCAAAGAAAUAGGGUGGACCCUCCAUUGUUUGUCUUCUUCUUCAAUCACGUUGCACUAUUCUUCCUUUUCUGAAUUUUGCUUCAACCGUGGCCUCCUCUCCAUUUUACACGUUGCAGCUUCAACUGGACCAAGACCGUGGAUGAGCUGCUUCACACACUUCUCUAAACACUCAUUUUGUGCUUCCGGAAAAACCAAGAUGCUUCUCCAAUUCCAGCCCAUCACAUGACAGCACCGCUUUCUUCUUGCUUCUGGACGAACGCCACUCCAAACUCCCAACGUGCUUCCAAAAAUCCUUGACGCUUGUGUGCACCUCUUGCUGUCAUCUUCUUCAUUCCAAGACAUUCCAGCCAAGCACUCUUCUCCCUUCUCAACGUAGCUGCUGGACGCUACACCUCCAUUCUUCACGUGUGCAUCCUCCAACCGUGAGCUUUCAAUCAACCAAGUGGUGGCCCCCUCCAUUGAAGUCUUCUACAAAGAAAGAGCAUUCCUAGCUGCCGUAAAUGAAGAAAACCGUGUGUGCUUUUCCCAUGUGUUCUUUCAUUGCAAAAUUCUUUAAAAGUAAAAGAAGAGGGGCCGUGUGUCCAGCAUUGAUACUUCAACAAUUUAGCACCUAAUGUUUUCAAGAUGGUGGCCCCUUCUCUUUGAUUCCACUUCAAGUGCCUACUCUUCUAUAUUGCCGAGGCCUUUCCAUAAGUGGUGGCUCCCACUUUCUUCAAUUAAUUGCUCUUUGGAUGUGCAAAAACAAUGAGGGGCCGUGUGCUAUCAAUUUAUUUCAGCAAUAACAUUACAAAUUCAGCACUUUCUUGGACUUCUCUUGGCCGUGAAGUGUAUAGGAGUUCCAAAUCAAAUUUUCUAUUUCAACACACAAAUUAAAUCAACACAGUGCAGCUCCUUAAAUAACACAGUGUGCAAACGAAAUUUCUUCAAAAUGUCCUAGAAUAUUUUCAGAAUUUUUCCCUGCACUCAAUAAUGUAAAUAAUUAGUCUCAGAU